AUUGAACGCUGGCGGCAUGCUUUACACAUGCAAGUCGAACGGUAACAGGCCGCAAGGUGCUGACGAGUGGCGAACGGGUGAGUAAUGCAUCGGAACGUGCCCAGUCGUGGGGGAUAACGCAGCGAAAGCUGCGCUAAUACCGCAUACGAUCUAUGGAUGAAAGCGGGGGACCUGCAAGGGCCUCGCGCGAUUGGAGCGGCCGAUGUCAGAUUAGGUAGUUGGUGGGGUAAAGGCUCACCAAGCCGACGAUCUGUAGCUGGUCUGAGAGGACGACCAGCCACACUGGGACUGAGACACGGCCCAGACUCCUACGGGAGGCAGCAGUGGGGAAUUUUGGACAAUGGGCGCAAGCCUGAUCCAGCAAUGCCGCGUGCAGGAAGAA
rnacentral:rRNA from 1 species